rnacentral:misc_RNA from 1 species
GAUGAAGAACGUAGCGAAAUGCGAUAAGUAAUGUGAAUUGCAGAAUUCAGUGAAUCAUCGAAUCUUUGAACGCACCUUGCGCUCCUUGGUAUUCCGAGGAGCAUGCCUGUUUGAGUGUCAUGAAAUUCUCAACCUUUCUGGCUUUUGCUAGUCAGGCUUGGAUUAUGGGAGCUGCUGGCUUUUAAAGUCGGCUCUUCUAAAAUGCAUUAGCAAGAUCAUUGCUGCUCAUCAUUGGUAUGAUAAUUAUCUAUAUCAUUGAGAGUCUGCAUCCUUUAUGGAAGGAUUUUGCUUCUAACCGUCUUUUCCUGAGACAACAUUUGACAAUUUUGACCUCAAAUCAGGUAGGAUUACCCGCUGAACUUAAGCAUAUCAAUAAGCGGAGGA